AUCGGAUGCAGACAUGUUCUGAGAAGGGAAAAUGAGACUGACCGGGGUUGGUAAGUGCAAUAACAGGACUGACACCUCCUGCAUUAUUACAUAUGAUAGGAAGGCAUGACCUAAUGAUGCGACAAGAGGCUGUUAAAAGCAUGUAGCUCCGGUGGCUGAUUCAUCUGACCAAGACGUAGUCCCAGAUUAGCCACCAAACAACACCAAGAUGGGGGUCGAUUACUCGUCCCUUACGAAGCGCAUCCCCUCACUGAAAUAUUUGGGGAACCUUUCCAUCGAGAGGUCCACAUCGAGCAUUGCCCCCACAGCACCCUACGGUUCAGAGAUAUUCUCAACCCCGAGCACUGCAAUGUUGGAUGUCUUCGAUCGUAUACACUCCCCUUGCUCGAAUGCUCCGCGCCAUGCCUGAUUGCAACAUCUGAUGGACCAUGUCGGAUCUCUCAUGAGUACAAGUAAACCACUCCUUUCUAGCUAUCAACCCUAAUGCCACAACGUGACAAAACUGCUCCAAGCGAAACCAGUGGCACACUUGUAUGCUAUCCCACGGCAUCUGUCCUUGAAACCUUGUUCCAAGUCUGAACUCUUCUCAGCGGUCACUGUAGCAGUUAUUGUCCACACUGAAUCCAGUAGGAGUUUAGGCAGGUAGGUGAGGAGAGAGGGAGAGAGAGAGAGAGAGAGGGGGGAAAAGACUGGGGCUUACUGGGGGAGCUCGGCAUCGUGCUUGGCGUCGGGGCCGAUGCACAUCAAUGUCUACUAUAGUUACGGGGACUGGCGCAGGCGGGGACAGCGGCAGCAGCGGCCCUGGCCAUGCCAUGCACGCCUUGACCGUGGCCUAACUCGAUGAAGCCAUGGUCUCGCUCUCCUCCCGUGCGUCGUGAUGGAGCAACUCAACUCGCUGCGCAUGCGUGAAGAUGGCAUGAGCGACGGAAGAGAAGGCGGGAGCGUCGCAGCCCAUCGCUUACAGUCUUAUGAUUUGAGGUGUAUGAAGUGACAUCUGACAAGUCAUCGUCGAUUCACCACCAUCUCUCUCCCAUCCCAUCCCAUCCCACGCUUCGCUGGGCGCAGCUGCUGCAUACCAAGCUUACUGCUACUGGUCCACAUGUCUUUUCCCUUCUCUCUCCCUACCAUGUACGUAGGAAGCUUCGAUUUCUCCUACUACGUGUUGUGUGAGAGAGAAAGCGAGACAUGUACGUGCGUACGUACGGCGUAUAGGGAGGGUAAUAUUUUUUGUGCCGUACGUUCCUCGACC